CUGAGCCUCCUGGUGUCGGGCCUGGGCUGGCGUCUGGGAUGUGACCCACGGGAGAGCAAAGCCCAUUGUCUGUGCUCGCAAGUUUAAAUUCCAGGGGCCAGGCAGCCGACCUGAACAAGUCAGCACACGAAUAAAUAAAUGCAAAUAGCAAUAUCGGCUUUGAAGGAACCAAACGGAGGAAUAACAAGAGAUGAAUGUAAUUUGGGGAAAAAUCUUGAGAACAAAAGGAGUCCAAGGAAUGAGUCUUAGUGAACAGACCUUUAAAAGUUGGAGAGAUGAGGAGGAACCUGAGAAGGCAGAGCCAGAAAGCGGACACGGGUUUGAGCCCUGGUCUGGGAAGAUCCCACAUACCGCGGAGCAACUGGGCCCGUGAGCCACAACUACUGAGCCUGCGCGUCUGGGGCUUGUGCUCUGCAACGGGAGAGGCCGCGACGGUGAGAGGCCCGCGCACGGCGAUGAAGAGUGGCCCCCGCUCGCCGCAACUAGAGAAAGCCCUCGCACAGAAACGAA